UACGUAGGGGGCGAGCGUUAUCCGGAUUUACUGGGUGUAAAGGGAGCGCAGGCGGCAGGGCAAGUCAGAUGUGAAAUACCGGGGCUCAACCCCGGGACUGCAUUUGAAACUGUCCGGCUAGAGUGCAGGAGAGGCAGGCGGAAUUCCUAGUGUAGCGGUGAAAUGCGUAGAUAUUAGGAGGAACACCAGUGGCGAAGGCGGCUUGCUGGACGAUGACUGACGUUGAGGCUCGAAAGCGUGGGGAGCAAACAGG
rnacentral:rRNA from 1 species